rnacentral:tRNA from 1 species
GCGAAGGUGGCGAAAUUGGUAGACGCGCUAGCUUCAGGUGUUAGUGUCUUAACGGACGUGAGGGUUCAAGUCCCUCUCUUCGCACCA